GGAAGCAACAAGAAACUGCAGCACACCACCAGAUUAUUUUGGUGCAUUUCUUUCUAAGGAGUCCAGACAAAUGCAGCUCCACUAUGCAAUGUCAACUGAAACCACAAACAUUUAAAGAAUAAUCACACUGUCGUCUCUUGAAGGAAUAUCACUCAAGAAACACUACUACCUCCAAGAAAAAUGUCAUGAGGGUUUGCAGAAAACACGAAACCUUGGGGAGAGAAUCUCAAUAAGCUUCUUCAAAAAUGCAGUGUUGCUCCUUUGCAGUCUGCUGUCUCCUGCUGGCCAUAAAUGUAAUUACAGCCAAGCUUACAGGAAGUCAUGGGAAAUGUCUAAAAGAGGCAAGAAUUUGAAAUGACAUAAAGCACCAUCUUUCAAUUCUAAAAAUAAAGUAUUUACAGAUGAAAGUCACAAGCAAGAACAAACAUAGUAAUUAAAACAAAACAAGCAAAAACAAACAAACAAACAACUCCCCCACCCCAGCUAAGUGGAAAGGAAAGAAUGAGGAAAAGAGAAAGGGACGUAGUAGGAAGAAAUGCAAUUUGCACGUAGAGUCAAUGAUGGUAUAUACAGAUGAUUAUGAAUUCCUCAGGCCUACCUAGAAGAAAAUUCAUCCAGAAGUAAUGGAUGUACCUUAACAGGAUGAUGGUGUUCCACACAGGGAUUGGAUACAUGAAAUAAACCUUUCUGUCCUAGUUUAAGAGGGAAUAUGAUUUUUUAAAAAAGUGUUCUGCAAUGUAUGACAACUGAUCAUUUCUCUUGGGAUUUCUCUUUUUAUCACAGCCAGUACAACCCAAUCAUAAUAUAGUAUCUAUAAGGGCAAACAAACCAAUAAGAUGAACUUUAAUUUGAUUCAGAUGAGAGAUCUAUAAUGCAAAAUUAUUUUUUUAUCACCAUAAAACUGUCAAGGACCUUGAAGUUAAGGAAGUUAAGACUCACUCUUAAGGGUGUGUAGUUAAAGCAUGACAGAUCUUCAGGACUUCAGAACCCAUAACCCACACUUUUCCCUUUGUAUCUUGACUACUUAUUUCUUUCCAUCUUAAAGUCUAUACUUCUUGGUAUUGUAUUAGGAGGCCUCCAAGAUUUCUAUGACUUUUCUGGUCUUCAGUGACUAAUUGUAAGCACUUAAUCUUUAAACUACAGAUGAUUCUGAGGUGAAUUGUAUUCACAAGUGCUAUAUACUUAGAAUGUUUGAAGCCAUUCUGGACAGGAAUCACAUACAGAGAUGUUAAUGAACCAUCAGAAACCUAUGGCCUUGAUAGCCUGAGAAUUGAUUGGUUACCUAGCCAAUUAUUCCUAGUCAAAUUUCCCCUACAAUGCCACAAUUUUUAUCACAGGAAUUUUAAAAGGGAGGAUUUCUAAGCCUGGGAAUAAGUCAUCAAAUUAGAGCAGAGGUAAUGAACAUGGCUUGGAGAUGUGGAAUGAUAUCACAGUCACGAAGCAGCAAAGGGCAGUUGGGAAGGGAGGACCUGAGCUGCUUCCUCAUUGUUUUUCCAUUCUGUCUGCAGUUCAUUGUGUUCUUGAAAGUGUUACUUUUGCAGUACCUAAUGAAUGAUACAUCAAGGCCUGCCAUGAAACUGUAGGGAGAAACUCUAUGGUAUGACUCAUGAGCCGUGCUGUAUUACAGAUCUUUUCUCAUUAGUCUGAUUAAAAACCUAAGCUCAUUAUGGCUCAGGAAGUGAUUUGGUUUCAAUGCCUUUUGGUUAUGUUCCUUUCUUAUUUUCUAGGAGCACAUAUUUUGGCUAAGAAAUCAUUUUCUAUUUUAAAUGGUUCUAAAUUUCAACUCUUAAAUGUGUGCUCAUUAUCAUAUCAUUCAAACCUGCAAAGGUUCUUUUUUGUACUUUUAAGAACUAUUUAAAAA